UGAAUCUUCAUAAUAUCUUUUUUUUAAGAAGAGUGAGCUCAAUCUUAAGUAAGCUUGGACCAUAUAUAUUAACAAUGGAUAUAUUUUUUUGAAAUCAAUAAUUCUCUGAACCCUAUUGACCUCUAAAAAACAUUGAUUUUCUCUAUUCUAGAGUCUUAUGUCACACUAAUGCCUCUUUGUAUUGUGUUCAUUUUUGUUGAGCAUGUGCCAUGAAGAAGUAGCAUAUCACUUUACCACAUUAGUAAUAUGUAACGCCUUUGAUAGAAGAUAAAGAUUUACUUAUUUUGCUCAAACAACAUGUUUCAGCAUUUCAAUCUAAUUUUUAGAUAUCAUGGUACUUGUAAGUUGAUACAGCCCCAUCUAUGAAGUAAAAUUCCUGAAAAAAAUCAACACAUAUUAUUUGUUACCUAUUGGUUCUGAGGCAUGGCAGCUGCAAACUCUGCAGCUGAAACAAUGAAAGUAUGGUUGUUGGGUUAGAAAAUUAUUUGGUUUUAUUUGAUUGUGGCGAUGCGACAUUUGAUUUAAGUCCAAGUAUAGCACUUUUGUUUUUAACUGUUAUCUCCAUUGUAUCACCAAUAAAAGAUGUAUCAAGUAUCUCAUAUGUGUGUUUUCCUUUUGCUAUUACUACAGUUGUGAGAGUUAAUCGGAUCCAUUUGCAUUCUUUGUAUAUAAAAUAUCCUUCAUGUGAUCUGAUAUGUAUGUGAUCCAUCAUUUUGUAUAGGGUUGUCAAAGAUAUUAAGAACUCAUCCGUGUCAAGAUCUUUGUUUCGGGGUUUGCCUCGUCAGGUUGAAUCUGAAGGGGUAAUUACUUACAUACUAGGCGCAAACAGCCGUCACAGAAAGCCCAGGUAGAUGGACAAAUCAAGAAAAAACCUAUACCAGAAUUAGACAUCAAAACUGGAAGGCUCUUAAUCUUUUUAUAUGCUGACUUCGGAUAUUGUUUCAUAUUUCGACGAGUAGAUACCAAAUCAAAUGUAGCAUCUGCUUUGACUAUAGCAAAAAUAGCAAGCAGUGGAUGAUAAACAUGUGUUGGUGAUGUUGGGUAGAAAAACUAUUCCAUUGUUGUAUGUUUAUGUUACCUUUAACUUAGUUCGUGGCUGAUUCCUUCUCUUUCCACGAUUCCUAGCUUUUGGUGUUAUAACUUAUAAGUUUCAAGUA